rnacentral:rRNA from 1 species
GACGAACGCUGGCGGCGUGCUUAACACAUGCAAGUCGAACGGAAAGGCCCUGCUUUUGUGGGGUGCUCGAGUGGCGAACGGGUGAGUAACACGUGAGUAACCUGCCCUUGACUUUGGGAUAACUUCAGGAAACUGGGGCUAAUACCGGAUAGAAGCUCCUGCUGCAUGGUGGGGGUUGGAAAGUUUCGGCGGUUGGGGAUGGACUCGCGGCUUAUCAGCUUGUUGGUGGGGUAGUGGCUUACCAAGGCUUUGACGGGUAGCCGGCCUGAGAGGGUGACCGGCCACAUUGGGACUGAGAUACGGCCCAGACUCCUACGGGAGGCAGCAGUGGGGAAUAUUGCACAAUGGGCGGAAGCCUGAUGCAGCAACGCCGCGUGCGGGAUGACGGCCUUCGGGUUGUAAACCGCUUUCGCCUGUGACGAAGCGUGAGUGACGGUAAUGGGUAAAGAAGCACCGGCUAACUACGUGCCAGCAGCCGCGGUGAUACGUAGGGUGCGAGCGUUGUCCGGAUUUAUUGGGCGUAAAGGGCUCGUAGGUGGUUGAUCGCGUCGGAAGUGUAAUCUUGGGGCUUAACCCUGAGCGUGCUUUCGAUACGGGUUGACUUGAGGAAGGUAGGGGAGAAUGGAAUUCCUGGUGGAGCGGUGGAAUGCGCAGAUAUCAGGAGGAACACCAGUGGCGAAGGCGGUUCUCUGGGCCUUUCCUGACGCUGAGGAGCGAAAGCGUGGGGAGCGAACAGGCUUAGAUACCCUGGUAGCCCACGCUGUAAACGGUGGGUACUAGGUGUGGGGUCCAUUCCACGGGUUCCGUGCCGUAGCUAACGCUUUAAGUACCCCGCCUGGGGAGUACGGCCGCAAGGCUAAAACUCAAAGGAAUUGACGGGGCCCCGCACAAGCGGCGGAGCAUGCGGAUUAAUUCGAUGCAACGCGUAGAACCUUACCUGGGUUUGACAUGGAUCGGGAGUGCUCAGAGAUGGGUGUGCCUCUUUUGGGGUCGGUUCACAGGUGGUGCAUGGCUGUCGUCAGCUCGUGUCGUGAGAUGUUGGGUUAAGUCCCGCAACGAGCGCAACCCUUGUUCACUGUUGCCAGCACGUUAUGGUGGGGACUCAGUGGAGACCGCCGGGGUCAACUCGGAGGAAGGUGGGGAUGACGUCAAGUCAUCAUGCCCCUUAUGUCCAGGGCUUCACGCAUGCUACAAUGGCUGGUACAGAGAGUGGCGAGCCUGUGAGGGUGAGCGAAUCUCGGAAAGCCGGUCUCAGUUCGGAUGGGGGUCUGCAACUCGACCUCAUGAAGUCGGAGUCGCUAGUAAUCGCAGAUCAGCAACGCUGCGGUGAAUACGUUCCCGGG